rnacentral:rRNA from 1 species
UACUGGCUCAGGAUGAACGCUAGCUACAGGCUUAACACAUGCAAGUCAGGGGCAUCAUGGAGUUGCUUGCAAACUCUGAUGGCGACCGGCGCACGGGUGAGUAACGCGUAUCCAACCUUCCCUAUAGUAGAGGAUAGCCCGGCGAAAGUCGGAUUAAUACUCUAUGUUUUCCGUUGCAGACAUCUAAGAUGGAACAAAGGCUUGCCGCUAUAGGAUGGGGGAUGCGUCUGAUUAGGUAGUCGGCGGGGUAACGGCCCACCGAGCCAUCGAUCAGUAGGGGUUCUGAGAGGAAGGUCCCCCACAUUGGAACUGAGACACGGUCCAAACUCCUACGGGAGGCAGCAGUGAGGAAUAUUGGUCAAUGGGCGAGAGCCUGAACCAGCCAAGUAGCCGUGCAGGACGACGGCCCUAUGGGUUGUAAACUGCUUUUAUGCGGGGAUAAAGUUCACUACGUGUAGUGUUUUGUAGGUACCGCAUGAAUAAGGACCGGCUAAUUCCGUGCCAGCCGCCGC